AAAAAGGCAAACCCUGGGUUUCCGUGUCCAACUUUAACUGUCUGUCUUAUAUGAAAUUUUUUUAUAAUUCAUAUUCUCAUUGUCAUUGUUGUUAAUUCUCAUUGUUGUUAGAUGAUAAAACAUGAUUAAUAUUUUAUGUGUGACUUGUCUUUUUAAUUUUUUUCAUAAUUUUUUCAAAUAAGACGGACGGUUAAAUGUUGGGCACGGAAAUCACGGUUUGCCUUUUU
rfam:Oryza rufipogon genomic scaffold, chr02